AAAGUCCUCCUCAUAUCCACUGGCUCACUUCUGCAGGAAAAAAAUGACACAGAAGAAAGAAGAAAAUCAGAUGUCUUAGCACUAUAGGAGUGGCAGCAUGGCUCAGCUUUUGGAAACUGAUGCAGAAUGAACAACACAUGGAGAGAAACAAGUCUUGUAUGUUUAAUGACAUCUCUUAUUCUUGGAAUAAAUCCAUGCCCUCAGAUCUGCAGAAGGAAGGCUUCCAGCAGACCUCCGACAGCCCAGCUCUUUGUAGUCCUACCACUGCUCCAGACACAGCGUCAGCUCUGGUCACUGCCAUCUGCCUACUCCGUGAACAUCAUUUCUUGCUUUCCCGGGCUUCUCUUACCAAGAAGCUGAGCUUUCUUUUUCUGCACACACGGGAACCACAAUUGUCUAUGGUUGAAUAUUUACUCUUUUAGAAGGGAAUGUUUGUAAGAAUUUGUGAAAGAGCUAUGUACACAGCACACCUUGCAUACUUAAAGAAUACAUUUUUCUUUGCAGGCAGUGAGAACAUAGUACUUUGCUUGUACACUGAAUGAUAUUGGAAUUUGAGUCCAUAUCAGUCUUAGUUUAAAAGCAGAAUCCCCCAUCAUUCUUACUCUGAGAUGCAGUUUCAGAGGAAAGGAGUGUUGUUUCUCUUCAGUGUGAUUUGCAGCUACAAUAAAGAUGUUGGUAUGAGAUACCCUGGGAGAUGGCGAUAUGCUUUUUUGCCAGCAGCCGGGUUGAAGAUAUUUUUUUUUUCUGUGGGACUAUUUGCUUACAGCCGAAAUAAACUAGAAAAAUGAUGAACAUGCAGAAAGACUAGUUAUAAAAAUUAAUAAUGUCCACGGAGUUAUAGCUUGGUUGUUGAGUGUUCCCCAGAAAUUCAAGUGUUAAAAACUUACUCUCUGGAGUGAGGUAGUGGGAAGUGGUGGAAACUUCAAGCAGUGGGGCCUAGUAAGAGGUUUUAGAUCAUCAUGUGUACGAUCUUCAAGGGUUGGUGGAACCCUAGCCCCAUCCUCUUUUGCUCUUUCUUAUCCUGCCUAUACAGUGAAGUUUUUUUUUUUCCAUGUCACAUACUUUUGUCACGAUGUUCUAAAGAA
rnacentral:lncRNA from 1 species